rnacentral:rRNA from 1 species
GAACUGAAACAUCUAAGUACCCCGAGGAAAAGAAAUCAACCGAGAUUCCCCCAGUAGCGGCGAGCGAACGGGGAGGAGCCCAGAGCCUGAAUCAGUGUGUGUGUUAGUGGAAGCGUCUGGAAAGGCGUGCGAUACAGGGUGACAGCCCCGUACACAAAAAUGCACAUAUUGUGAGCUCGAUGAGUAGGGCGGGACACGUGGUA